UGGUGUGACUGCGUACCUUUUGUAUAAUGGGUCAGCGACUUACAUUCAGUGGCGAGGUUAACCGAAUAGGGUAGCCGUAGAGAAAUCGAGUCCGAACAGGGCGACAGUCGCUGGGUGUAGACCCGAAACCAAGUGAUCUACCCAUGGCCAGGAUGAAGGUGCGGUAACACGCCCUGGAGGUCCGAACCCACUAAUGUUGAAAAAUUAGGGGAUGAGCUGUGGGUAGGGGUGAAAGGCUAAACAAACUUGGAAAUAGCUGGUUCUCUCCGAAAACUAUUUAGGUAGUGCCUCAAGUAUCACCAUCGGGGGUAGAGCACUGUUAUGGCUAGGGGGUCAUUGCGACUUACCAAACCAUUGCAAACUCCGAAUACCGGUGAGUGCGAGCUUGGGAGACAGACAUCGGGUGCUAACGUCCGGUGUCAAGAGGGAAACAACCCAGACCGCCAGCUAAGGUCCCAAAGAUUGGCUAAGUGGAAAACGAAGUGGGAAGGCUAAAACAGUCAGGAUGUUGGCUUAGAAGCAGCCAUCAUUUAAAGAAAGCGUAAUAGCUCACUGAUCGAGU
rnacentral:rRNA from 1 species